rnacentral:misc_RNA from 1 species
AACUGAAAUAUGAGGUUAACUUCGUAAUUUGACCGACAUAUUUAAAUGCGGCACGAGAAGUUUGGCAACACGUGCUUUCUGCCAUGCCCUUUUGUCUUUGUCCAAAUCCGCCUACUCUUUUUUUCAGCUUCACGAUUACACAGAAAGAGAGAGAUUUGAGAGAGACAGAGAGAGUACCCGGUGAUGAAAACAGGAGUUUCUGGCGACAACUGGAAGUCCGAUGACCCACUACCGGAGGGCUGGACAGUCCAGGUCAAAGUGAGGAGCAACGGUAAAAAAGAUAAGGUAAUUAGCAAUUUGUUGAAGUCAUUGUUUUUCCGUUUUAGGUAAUUUUACUGUUUGGCUGCUGCUUGUGCUUUGAAUCUCUCGAAUCUUUCUGUUUCUUUUUCUGAUGCCUGGCUUUUAAAAGACUUGUCAUUUAAAUUAAAACCAAUUUAAUUGUUAGGGAAUGCUAUGAUCAUCAGUUUGUGAGAUUUGUAAAUUUGUGUGAAACUAUUAAUUGCAUUUAAAGUUUGAAUGUUUGCUAAAUCUGUCCUGAAGAAAUUGUUAAUUCGUUAUUUUUCUAAUUUAAUAUGUAAAUCUGAAAAACGACUCAAUUCUAAGCCAUUUUCUACUUUAAUAACAUGGAUUGAUUGAUACUGUAAAUUCAUUUUUUCACUACCAUGCUUUUCACUAAUUAACACAAAUAAUUAAAAGACUAAGUCCAUGGCUUUUAUUUUUAAUCUUUGUUGUUUUAUUUAGUCUUCUCAGUAACUCAAAGAUGAACCCAAAAUGGAAAGAUGCCUAAUGGGUUCUAUCCUGCUGUUCAAGAUUGGGGGAUAAGACUAUUCGAGGUUAAAUUAAGCAGUUUUUUUCGCUUGACUUCCUGAUCCAGUUGUGAUAGUCUUGUUAUGGUAUGCUUAAUCCUUGAACAUUCUCUAUCUGUUGUUACUGUAAUGAAAAGGGCCUUUGUCUAGUGCAGUAGGACAAAGUCUUGGGCUUGCAACCUCUUGGUAGCAGGUUCAAGACUUCACAACAACCACCAUCUCCAGAAUUCUCUUCACAUGACCCUAUUUUGAUGGAACAUAACUAGGUAAUGGACUUUUAUAUGUGUACUAAUGCAGCUUUGUAAGCUAAAAUUCUUGUAUCUCUGGUUAAUGUGGGCAUAAUUGGUCUUUCAGGAAAUGAUUCUACUCAACUUUGACUAAAAGUAGAAAGUUAUGAUAGAAGAAUCCAAGUCCAACAUUAAGAAUAUUUUUAAGGGAAUAAUGAACUCUAAGCUAUCUUUCAGUGACAAGGCAAUUGAAUUUUUAUAUUAAUCUGUUUUUAUUGCAGUGUUACUUUCCUCCCUCAGGUGAAGGUAAAUUCUACUCCAAACUAGAGGUAGUUCGCUAUCUUAACAACAGCAAUCCUAAAUCUGAAGAGAAGGAAAAAGGCAUUGACCAGCACAAUGAAAAUGUCUGAUGAAAAAUUCUGCUCUUUUUGCUUUUGUUUACCUCUACUUUCCAUUAUUGUUUUUAUCAAUAUAUAGAAGAAGGUUUUGAUUAGCUAAGGAAUCUAGGUUGUAGUUGAGAAGGCUGAGCCAAAAGGAUUACCUCCAGGAUGGACCAAAGAAAUCAAAGUGACAAAGAAAGCUCAUAAAAUCAGAAGGGAUUCGUAUUACACUGAUCCUGCAAGCGGAUAUGUAUUCCGCUCUAUGAAGGACGUACUUCGCUAUCUUGAAACUGGGGAGGUCGGGAAACAAGCAUUCAAGCCCAAAGACAAAGGCAACAAUGAUGUUGAGUUGGAAGAUGAUAAAGCAUGUGUAUGUGCAUCAAUAGUUCUGCAAGUUUAUAUCUUUAUUUUAUCAAUUAAUAAGAUAAUUCCUUAUGAUGCUUCCUCCAAGAUCAUUUUAUUAUUUUAUCAAGCAAGGGAUUAAAAAUUUUAUAGGUAGGCCUGUCUAUCCAUAAUAUGAUUGAAUUGAACUGUGUUAACACAAAUAGAGUUAUCAAGGGAAUCUUUUUAGAAAAUCAUUGAUAAUAUUAGUUAUGGGACAAGUGUAAGUGGUGUUGCUAGCCUUGAUGUUUGUACCUUUCCUUACCCAUGUUCAAUGGUCUUUUGAACUGUAAAUUUGGGCAUUUCUUUCUGUUGUUUUGUCCUCUGUUCUGGAAGUAGCUUUGUUUCCUCAAAACUUUAGAGUCUGUUUUUGGACGUGAGUGUGGAUAACUCUUUCAGUACAUUUGUCUUCUUUAUUCUUUUUAUGUGUAAACGGUUGCUUACUGUUGGGUAGCCAUCUGCAACUGCAAUUUGUGCUUGUUUGGUAAGGUGAAAUACUAUGAUCAGUUGCAGUUUUUGUUAAAAUUUUAUUAGCAUUAUCAAAUCUUUCAGUGUUUAAUUUUUUAUUAGUGUUUCUUGUUCAUUCUGAACCUCAAUAAAGCUAACCCUAUGUGUGUUGCAUGUUCUAAUUUCAAAAAGUGUAGCAAAUACAGCAGAAAACUUAAACAAACUGUUCAUUGUUUAUGGUAUCUUGAACAAAUCCGUGUUUAUGCAGCAUUAAUAAUUGCUCUGCUUUUUUUUCCCCAUUGGUCCAUGAAUGCCAGUUGAAACCAUUGUUUGGCUUAGAUUUAAUAAUUAUCAAUAUUUUGACUUCUUCAAAAUUUUCAUCUCUCUCCCUAGUCACCAGCUGCAGCAAAGAAACAAAAGUUGGCAGUCAAUGGAACAAGAAGUCCAACUAUAAGUGAGAAGAGCUCAAAGCCAUUUGAAGUUGCAAAGGAUGAACAAGUACUUAGUUCGGCUAAUACAGGAGAAUCCUUGCCUGUCUCUGAGCAUAGUAAUGGCCAUUGCAUUGUCAUAAAUUUCCUUACUGUUUACUGAGCAUUGUGUGUGUUUCUGCAUGUGCACAUUCAUGAGCUUUUUUCCGCUUAUUCAUUUCAUGGGAGUUGAUUGAAGGUGACAAGAUGUGGAAAAUUUUAUUUUAGAACAGGAAUUGGAUGAGACUUGACAAAUUGCUAUAGGACGUGAUUGGUUAUCGAUAUUUGUCUAUUUGUUGUGGGGCUGUUGGGGUGGGUAUAUGUAAAAUAUAUACUCUAAUUUGAAUAUGUGAAGACCAUGCAUCUAGUCCCAGGUGAACAUCCCAGUAGUUAGAAUUUGGGCUUCCAAUCCUAGGAUACAUCCCAUUGGGGUUAAGGGGAUAUUUAUAUCUAAUUUGAAUUUUCUUAAUGAUGCAGAUGUAGUAGGUGCUCAGUCUAACAGCUCAGAAGUGCCAGAGGGCAAAGGUUCAAACCAAACAGUAGGGAAGAGUGAUCCUGCUACAAGUGUAAUAGCUACUGCAGUUGAUAUCCUCCCAAAUGAGCCACCAGUGGAAAGUAGGGUGAUGAAGGAUGAAAUUAGAAGUACACCUCAAAAAUGCAAGAAGAAAAAGAAUCUUAACCUGCCUCGCCGGGCUUCAAAGCGACUUGCUGGCCUUCCACUCGAUCCUACACCUGAAUUGAAAACAACAAACCGAGCCCGUCAAGCUCCAGUUAAACAGUCUGAUGAUAUAGUUGUAAGUACAGGUGGAGGUUCUUCCCACACUGAGCUCCCCAAAAGCACAAAAUGUUCAUUUGAGUCAAAUAAGAGCAAGCAUCCAAUUGUACAUACAGCUGCUCCAAGCGAACAUGUAGAAAAGGUAGAAAGUGUAAAAAGGGGUGAUGAGAAGCCUGAACAUGCUGUUGUUUCAUCUAUAGGAAAUCUAGUAGAAACAGAAAAUGAGGAUAGUAAGAAGUGUGAACAUGCUGUUCUUUCAGCUGGUAGGAAUCUGGCUAUUGGAGAGGAACAUCCUGGAAUGAUCAUAACUGACAAUAAUGCUGAUGAGAAGCCAGGACUGCCUAUUGACCUCCCACUUGGGGAGUUAUGGCAAGAUCCAUGCAUUGCAUUUGCAAUAAAAAUCCUCACUGGAAUAUCAUUUGACAAUUCUGGAAGUGUACAAGUCUCAUCAGGGUCAAACAAUAGUGAAUUUGGGAGCUCAACUGCUUUGGAAGACCAUGCCAGGAAAGAGGAGGAUCAUAGGAAGCAAGGAUGCACUGUUCAUCAGCCUCUGGUUAACAUAGUUACUUCAGAAGAACGUCCUAGAGGAAUUGACAUUGGUGAUAAAAGUGAUGAGAAGCCAGGAUCCCCUCUUUCUUUUGCAGAUGCAUGGGCAGACCCCUGCAUUGAAUUUGCUAUAAAAACUCUCACAGAUGCAAUUCCAUUAGACUAUGAUAUGGUCAUUCAGGAUUGUCUUCCACAGAAAGCGAGCUCAUCACAGUCACCAGAAAGUAGUGGCUUGACCUUGCAGAAUGUAGGUGAGCCUGGUCAAACCGAAUUUUUUUAUCGGCAAUUUGGCAUUUCAGAGAAGCCUUCAUACAAUCAAGGGGCUUUGAUGGAGCCUGCAUUACCACACGCUAAAAAUGUGAACUUAGGAUACUCGGGUGGAGCCAUUCACCAUCAACUCAGUGAAGACAGAAGCAAAGAAUAUAAAAGGUAGCAAUCCAGUUGUAGUAAUCAAUUCAUUGUACAGUCUAGGGAACUUCGAUCUGGACGUGAUUAUUUUUGGGACGAGAUCAUCUGUAAUUCUCUAGUUAGCAUGAAUGUUCACCCCCUAAUCUAUCUGUACUCAGAUAUAAACUUUGUUGUCAUUCAUUUGAGAUAAAAAUUAGUUGGAACAGCAGUUUUUC